rnacentral:rRNA from 1 species
CCUACGGGGGGCAGCAGUGAGGAAUAUUGGUCAAUGGGCGGGAGCCUGAACCAGCCAAGUCGCGUGAAGGAAGAAGGUACUUAGUAUUGUAAACUUCUUUUGUCGGGGAACAAAGGCGGAGACGCGUCUCCGGAUGAGUGUACCCGAAGAAAAAGCAUCGGCUAACUCCGUGCCAGCAGCCGUGGUAAUACGGAGGAUGCGAGCGUUAUCCGGAUUUAUUGGGUUUAAAGGGCGCGCAGGCGGGAGAUCAAGUCAGCGGUAAAAUGUCGGGGCUCAACCCCGGCCGGCCGUUGAAACUGGUUGUCUAGAGUUGGAGAGAAGUAUGCGGAAUGCGUGGUGUAGCGGUGAAAUGCAUAGAUAUCACGAAGAACUCCGAUUGCGAAGGCAGCAUGCCGGCUCCAUACUGACGCUGAGGCACGAAAGCGUGGGGAUCGAACAGGAUUAGAUACCCCGGUAGUC